rnacentral:rRNA from 1 species
CCUACGGGUGGCAGCAGUGAGGAAUAUUGGUCAAUGGCCGUAAGGCUGAACCAGCCAAGUCGCGUGAAGGAAGAAGGAUCUAUGGUUUGUAAACUUCUUUUAUAGGGGAAUAAAGGUAUGCACGUGUGGAUAUUUGCAUGUCCCCUAUGAAUAAACAUCGGCGAACUCCGUGCCAGCAGCCGCGGUAAUACGGAGGAUGCGAGCGUUAUCCGGAUUUAUUGGGUGUAAAGGGUGCGUAGGUGGUUUUUUAAGUCAGCGGUGAAAUUUUGUGGCUCAACCAUAAAAUUGCCGUUGAAACUGGAAGUCUUGAGUGUGUUAGAGGUAGGCGGAAUGCGUGGUGUAGCGGUGAAAUGCAUAGAUAUCACGAAGAACUCUGAUUGCGAAGGCAGCUUACUAAGCCAUAACUGACGCUGAUGCACGAAAGCGUGGGGAUCAAACAGGAUUAGAUACCCCAGUAGUC